rnacentral:ncRNA from 1 species
GUAAAGUUUUAUCCUAGCUUGGGAAAAUUAUUUAAUAUUUAUUUAUAUGUGAAUUUUUGUGUAGAUUAAAAUUUAAUAUUUUAAUAUUAAAGCAGUAUAUAGAUUUAAAAAUAAAUGAAAAUUUGAUUUAGAAAUUAUUAGUAAUAUUAACUAAAUUUGUGCCAGCAGUUGCGGUUAUACAUAUAAUAUGAUGAUUUUUAUUUAGUUUAUAAUAAAUAGAAGAGUUUAAAUUAUAAUAAAAAUUGUUAAGUGAAAUUUUAAUUUUUAAAAAGUUUAGGAUUUUAUUAUGAAUUUAUUAAAUUUUAUAAUAAACUAGGAUUAGAUACCCUAUUAUAAAAAUGUAAAUUUAUAGCUAGAUUAGUAUUAGUUAUUAUCUUGAAAAUUAAAGGAUUUGGCGGUAUUUUAGUCUAUUCAGAGGAACUUGUUCUAUAAUUGAUAGUCCACGAUUUAUAUUACUUAUACUAUUAGUUUGUAUAUCGUCGUAGUUGAAUAUUUUAUAAGAAUUUAAAUAUUCAAUAAUUAAAAUAAUAAUAGAAAUCAGAUCAAGGUGCAGCUUAUGUAUAAGAAGAAAUGAGUUACAAUAAAAAUAUUUAAAUGGGGAAUAAUUUUAAAAAAUUAUUUAAAAGUGGAUUUGAAAGUAAUUUAAUUUAAUUAAAUUAAAUGAUUUAAGCUCUAAAAUAUGCACAUAUCGCCCGUCGCUUUCAUAUAAAUUGAAAUAAGUCGUAACAAAGUAGGUGUACCGGAAGGUGUAUCUAGAAAGAC